GCCCUGGAUAUAUAUUAAAAAGAAGAUGAAGUCCAGAUUGGGCAAUACAACCAAAGGAAAAACAACAACACUAAUGGGUUGGAUUGAGACGUCAACACGCGCCAAACAACCUCAUCAUAACACUCAAACUCAAAAAUGACCAGUUGGAUUGGGACAUCAAUACACGCCGACCUCAACUCAUCUCAACAAACAGCUCCGGUCGGGUCAGAUUGGGACAUCGACACAAGUCGCACAAUGCUAUCGCUCAGCUCAACUCAAAGCUGCAUUGCAACACCCGCUGCCAACGCUAGUACUUCCGCCGCAAACAAUCUUAGCACAUCACCAACUCAGCCACCGUUUCCGCCACCCGCCUCGAAGCUCUAAACUCUGCCUUCAAUGGCCUCAACACCACCACUGCAC
rnacentral:lncRNA from 1 species